rnacentral:rRNA from 1 species
GAUGAACGCUGGCGGCGUGCCUAAUACAUGCAAGUCGAGCGAACGGACGAGAAGCUUGCUUCUCUGAUGUUAGCGGCGGACGGGUGAGUAACACGUGGAUAACCUACCUAUAAGACUGGGAUAACUUCGGGAAACCGGAGCUAAUACCGGAUGAUAUUUUGAACCGCAUGGUUCAAAAGUGAAAGACGGUCUUGCUGUCACUUAUAGAUGGAUCCGCGCUGCAUUAGCUAGUUGGUAAGGUAACGGCUUACCAAGGCAACGAUGCAUAGCCGACCUGAGAGGGUGAUCGGCCACACUGGAACUGAGACACGGUCCAGACUCCUACGGGAGGCAGCAGUAGGGAAUCUUACGCGAUGGGCGAAAGCCUGACGGAGCAACGCCGCGUGAGUGAUGAAGGUCUUCGGAUCGUAAAACUCUGUUAUUAGGGAAGAACAUAUGUGUAAGUAACUGUGCACAUCUUGACGGUACCUAAUCAGAAAGCCACGGCUAACUACGUG